UUAAUGGAGAGUUUGAUCCUGGCUCAGGACGAACGCUGGCGGCAUGCCUAACACAUGCAAGUCGAACGGACUUUUAGUUUUUAGUUUACUAAAUACUAAAAGUUAGUGGCGGACGGGUGAGUAACGCGUGGGUAACCUGCCCAUAAGUUGGGGAUAACUCCGGGAAACCGGUGCUAAUACCGAAUAAGCUUAAUUUAUCGCAUGGUAGAUUAAGUAAAGAUGGCCUCUUUACAAUGCUAUCGCUUAUGGAUGGACCCGCGUCUGAUUAGCUAGUUGGUGAGGUAAUGGCUCACCAAGGCGACGAUCAGUAGCCGGCCUGAGAGGGUGAACGGCCACACUGGGACUGAGACACGGCCCAGACUCCUACGGGAGGCAGCAGUGGGGAAUCUUCCGCAAUGGGCGAAAGCCUGACGGAGCAAUGCCGCGUGAGUGAUGAAGGCCUUCGGGUUGUAAAACUCUGUCCUAAUGGAAGAAAGGCUAUGGUGCAAAUAGUGCCAUAGAUUGACGGUACAUUGGGAGGAAGCCCCGGCUAACUACGUGCCAGCAGCCGCGGUAAUACGUAGGGGGCAAGCGUUGUCCGGAAUUACUGGGCGUAAAGAGCGUGUAGGCGGAUUUUUAAGUCAGGUGUGAAAACUUUGGGCUUAACCCAGAGACUGCAUCUGAUACUGGAAGUCUUGAGUGCAGGAGAGGAGAGUGGAAUUCCUAGUGUAGCGGUGAAAUGCGUAGAUAUUAGGAGGAACACCAGUGGCGAAGGCGACUCUCUGGACUGUAACUGACGCUGAGACGCGAAAGCGUGGGGAGCGAACAGGAUUAGAUACCCUGGUAGUCCACGCCGUAAACGAUGGGUACUAGGUGUUGGGGGGUCAAAGCCUCAGUGCCGCAGUUAACACAUUAAGUACCCCGCCUGGGGAGUACGGUCGCAAGACUGAAA
rfam:Desulfonispora thiosulfatigenes DSM 11270 genome assembly, contig: Dest_Contig00035